UUUUGUUGUGCCCUAACUUAGCAGUCCUGUUGGGAUAAAAGGGACAGCUCUCUCUCUCUCUCUCUCUCUCUCUCUCUCUCUCUCUCUCUCUCUCUCUCUCUCUCUCUCUCUCUCCCCCCCUCUCUCAUCCCUUGACUCUCAUAUUCACCCACUGCUGCAGCCUGAUACCAGCUGUUUGUUUAAAAACACAGCAAUAUACUUGGAAGUUCAGCCAAUGAAGAGAUCUAAAAGAGAAAAGAAGUGGGAAUAACUGAAAUGAGGACAACCAGGCUGUAGCAACAGCUGGGAGAUUUACACCAAGGUCAAUGGCAUAAACUAUGAGUGGAGAGCAACUAAGGUGGAAUCUGUGCUAUGGGGGCCCUGGAAUCUCUUUGCUACUUCCUAAGCCCUGCCAGCUGGACACCAGCUUACAUGGAUUCUUUGGUCUCUGCCUCCCAUCUCUAGCCAGCAGUGAGUGACCAGCAGCCAGCACGGACUGCCUAUCAGAUCAUCUGAGACCAGCUGGUCCUGAACUUUCCACAGGGUGACUAAGGUCCCGUGAAUGAGACCAGCAAAAAAGUGAAAUACAUUCCACAGGAAGUUCAUUAUCCUCUAAAGCUAUAAUGGGAGAAGCAAGGAGGUAUAUUUACAGAAAUGGUUGAAAAAAAAAAAGACAGAGAAAAAUACAUAUUUUUAAAUAUAUUUGCAUUUCAAAGAUCUUGUCACCCACCAGCAGGGAUGAGCCCUCCCAUGUUCUUCCAGUGACUGAACAACUGUCCCUACCUGAGCAGACUUCUUUGUAGGUGGGAUUGCGUGUGUAGCCUCCUGCAAAGCCCACUUGGGUUGAAUACACGCCUUUUAAGAGCCAGAACUUGCGCUCGGCCCCCCAGAAGCAGCCCAUUCCUGCAGAGAACAAAACAAAGAUAAAUCAUGUAUCCAAAUCAAGGCGGUUACUAUAUGUCACCACACCUGUCGGGUGGAACGGAGAAGCUGAUCAAGAAGGCCCAGAGUUAACACUGAAGAAUAUCUAAAGCAAAGGUUUCAGCACUGAAGAAUAAUACAGUGCCAGCAAGAUGGCUCAGCAUGUAGCAGGCCUGCUAUAGAGCCUGAUGACUGGAGUUCCAUCCCCAGAGCCACAAAUCCAGAUGUGGAGGCUCCAAUCUGUAAUCCCGGUAUUCUUGUGACAAAACGGUGGUGGGCUGAGCUCAGCAGAAUCACCCUGGACCAUGUACAGAACAGCAGGAACCACAAGAGGCCUCAACAGGUGGAAUGAGAGAACCAGUGCCCAGGAAGAUGUGCUCUGUCCUCCACAUGCACACACACACACACACACACACACACACACACACACACACACACACACUAAUAAGUGACCAUAUUAAAACUUCUCAAAA